GUGCAACUGAAACUGAAGAUGGAAACGACACGACAUGACCGGCCAAAGGUGGACGCUGGUCAGUGGGGUCCCCUAUAUCAAUGGAUGUCUGAGUCAAACAGGUGUUUGUCCCCUGGACACAUUAAAAAACAACUAAAAGUUGAUAUAUUGAGAGUGAAAAUUUUAAUAAAAUACUCGACAGAGCUUGUACGUACAUUUGUACAUGUAUAUAAUUUCGUUUAGAAUGUAAAAAGAAACCAUACUGCAAUCUCUGUCGUGGUAAUAGACGUGGUAUUACCAAUUUGAUGAACAGAAGAAAAAAUUAAAAAAGAAUUGCUCUCAUCAGCCACGUACCUCAAAACACUUGACUUGAUACCAAUUCAAUAUUUCGGCAGUGUGAUGCAAGAUUAGCGAUUAGUCAGUUUUAUCACUAUCUUAGUUAAAUGCAAUCUGCCAUCAUUCGAAGUCUAUUUGCACAUCUGUUGUAUACAGAUCUUAAAAUUAGUGAAUAGGUGAGGAGGUGUGUUUAAUAUGACACCUCUUAUUUGUAGUUCAUAUACCUUUUAUUUUCAUUCCUGGCGAUUUUCUGCUGCGGUGUGUAAAUUACAGCAACAGAAUCAAUCUGGUCCAUAAAUUGCUCUUCUUAAACUCUUUAAUUGGAAAACUGAUAUUGCACGGGAAAAUCGUGACAAGAUAACUACCCUGAAAUUCAGUUAAUAGCUGGGUGGAGAAGACGGACGCAAAAAAGACAUCCUAUCUUUGUUUCCUGUGUGGUAAACGUGUGAUAGACCCGUGAAACUAAAUCUGAACAGAGGUCUGUUAACAGCGUGGGAACGUAUGCAAGUCGGGCUCGGAAUUCUCCUUGAGGAAGUGAUACCUAGUAAUCCCGUCAUGAAGAGCACAUUGUUAUAUAGAUAACGAGGAGCUACACAGUUCACCAUGCAGAACAAUUUAAUAGUCAAAUAACUGUCUUGAGUUUGUUGUUGAUGGACUGGGAUGACCAGAGUAGCUAUUCAACAAAAGUAGACCUCGUGUGGCAACUGAAAUCAGCUUGACUAAAAUUGAAAUACCUGCAGAGUAUGAAGUAUGUCUGGCUGUUUCUGUCUCAGACUAAAACACAUUAAAGUUCGGAGAAAAUGUUACUUGUUCUGGAACAAAAUGGGACUGAGGUACGCCAACAUUGUUUUGUUUCCAUUGGUACAUCAUUUGUGAUGGUUGUUGGCUACCAAGCUGUGAUGCCGUCAUUAAACCAGUUUAAAUCUAUAACAGUAUCAUACGCCGUGUUCUAUCACAAUUACAGAUGACGCAACACCUCUUCACAUUAGAUUCAUGUCAAAUCUAAGGAAGA